rnacentral:misc_RNA from 1 species
AAGUCGUAACAAGGUUUCCGUAGGUGAACCUGCGGAAGGAUCAUUACAGAGAACAUGCCCUCCGGGGUAGAUCUCCCACCCUUUGUCUACAUUACCUUUGUUGCUUUGGCAGGCCCGUCCCUGGACCGCCGGCUUCGGCUGGUCAGUGCCUGCCAGAGGACCCCAAACUCAUAUUAUCUUAUUGUCUGAGAACUAUCUAAUAGUUAAAACUUUCAACAACGGAUCUCUUGGUUCUG